CCUGGCCUGUAGUGUUUCUGUAGAGAAAUCAGCCGAUAACCUUAUGGGGGUUCCCUAUAGUAAUAUUCUGCUUUUCUCUUGCUGCCUUUAGGAUACUCUCUUUAUCACUAACUUUUGCCAUUUUUAGUAUUUUGUGUCUUGGUGUGGGUCUAUUUGGGUUCAACUUGUUUGGGGCCCUCUGUGAUUCCUCUAUCUUGAACUCAGUAUCCUUUAGAUUUGGGAAGUUUCCAGUGAUAAUUUCUUCAAAUAUAUUUUCCAUUCCCUUAUCUUUUUCUACUCCUUCUGGAAUUCCUAUUAUGCGUAGAUUGGCCCGCUUUAUAUUAUCCCAUAGGUCUCUUAUAUUGCUUUCCAGUUUUUUGAUUCGGUUUUCUGUCUGUUGACCGGAUUGAGUGAUUUCCAUUAUUCUAUCUUCCAUAUCACUGAUUCGUUCUUCUGCAUUAUUCAUUCUGGUUUUUACUGCCCCUAGUUCAGUUUGCAUCUCUGCAAAUGAAUGUUCUAGUUUUUCUUGGCUCCUCCUUAUAUUUUCUAGUUCCUUUCUGAGGGUAUCUGCAUUACUGUUCAUAUCUUCUCUUAAUUCCUUCAGUAUUUUCACUAUUUCUCUUUUGAACUCCAGGUCUGUCUGACUGCAGAGAUCUGUUUCAUUGUUGACUGUUUUAGGUGAGUUCUCCUGUUGGUUUGACUGGGGGUGGUUUCUCAGCUUCUUCAUCUUGCUUGUUGUUUUCUUUCUCCUGAGGGAGUUGUACUCUCCGUUAUCGGGCAGUGUUUGCCUUGUCACUGCCGUGGAAUAUUUCCUGAGGGCUGGCGUUGUUGGUCAAUCUUUUUUGAGGCAGUGUGGCUUUUCUGGAGUGUUGAUGGGGCUAACAGUGUUUCUUUGAAGCAAAGGAGGACUUCCUGAGGGCAGACAGGACUGGGAGGUCCACACCACGAUGGUAGCAGAUUUCACUUGGUCAUGCAGAGCUUGCUCUGGUGUUUUUAGGCUGUGGGGUUCUUGCAGGGGGUUGGCGGUGUUGGGCAGCUGUUCCUCAGGAGUGCAGCACCCCCUGGGGGCUGGAGCAGCUAUCUGGGUCACUGAGUUCCCAAGAGGCUCUUCCCUAGGUCAGCCCAACUCAGAAGGACUGUUUGAGAAUGUAGGCAGAUCUUUUCACAGUCUACCCAAGCUUGUUGUAGGUUUUCUGGGCUGCAGGGGGUCCUGCAGAGAGCUGGCAGCCCUUUGCAGCUGUUCCACAAGAGUGCGGCUACCUCCGAGGGGUGGAGCAGCUAGCUGGGCCACUGAAAACUCAAUAGGCUCCUCCCCAGGGCAGCCUGACUUAGAAAGACUGUCUGAGAAUUAGGCAGAUCUUUUCACGGCCUGGCCAGGCUUGUUCUAGCUUUUCUGGGCUGCAGGCCUUUUCUCAGGGGUUGGUGGUGUUUGGUGCUGUUCCGUGGGGGUGUAUCCCCUCCAAAGGGCAAGCAGACCUGUGCAGGGACAGUCCCUGUGGUGGUAGGCUUCAGGCAGUUGUUGAUGCCAGCCCUCCUGGAUAUCAGGCAGCCCCAGGUCCAUCGAGUGCAUAGAGGGGGGAGGGGAUGCACUGGAAAGCACAACUUUCUGAUAGCUAGUGGGCUGGUAAGCUUGCUGUGGCAUGGGGAGUAUUCUGUGGGGACCCACCUCUUCUUCUCUCCCCUCCCCAACAUGGGGCGCAGACCAGGCUCUUCUCCCAGGUUCCCUCUGAUGUGGCUUUCCACUACCCCGUGCCUAGAGUAUUGCUCCCUUCCCCUGCAACAGCUUUGCUUUCUAGUCUCCCAGGCAGUCUCUGCCCCAUCAAACUUGACAGACCAGUUUCUAGACCUCCCAAGCAGUCUCCACUCCAUCCCCCCCCCCAGCCCUUUCCCAGCGACUAACCUCUGGAGCUGUGGUCUCGGUGCCCAGCCCCCAUCAAGGCAUCUCAAUUUUUGGUGACUGUGUCCAUAGUUCAGAUGAUCUGUUUGGUUCUCAGUCUGCUUUUCAGAAUUCCAACUUACUCCUACACUCUUCUCUGCAUCUGGAGAUUCCUCUGGUUUGCUUGCUCUUUCCCCCGAGUAGGUGACUUUCCAGGGUUCAGGAUCACUUUCUCCUCCGCAGUUCCCUUUCGGAGCGCCCAUCCAGCUCAGAUUCACCUUCUCUCACUCUCCUCUUUUCUCUUGUUUUACCUAGUAAUGUCGCAAACUUCUUGCCAUUAUUGGAGUUUAGGUUCUUCCGCUAGUGAUUGGUUGCUGUUCUGUGAGAGUCAUUUAUCCUGUAGAUUUUUUUGUUGUUGUUGUGUUUGUGGGAGAGGGCGAGCGUGUCCCUCUACUCUUCCGCCAUCUUGUCCCCUCCUGGGGAUUAGUGUUUUAAACAGUACUUUCUAGUAAAAUCUGAUUGAUGAAGUAGAUUUAGUCCUUUUUUCAUUCCCUAUCUCCUUUGGUCAUUUAUCUGCUAGAGAAAAUUUUCAUAUUCCUUUAAAGAAUCAUAUUUUAUGAUACCAUUUUAACUUCAAACACUCCAUUUCUUAGACACAUAUGUGAGCUGAUUAUUAAGGACUUUAAUAUCUCAACUAAAUUUGCAUUUUAAAGUGAGACAAUAUUAUAAAUUUUCUGAAUGAUUUUUGUAACCAUUGAUAUAUAAAACAUUAUCAUUAGAUAUGAGGCAUUUAGAAGAUUUGCUUGCAGUUAUGGAGAAAAUCAUUUCUGGUAUGAACACAACAGGCCUGCCUAUAAAAAUAUAUUAUCCAAUAAUUAUUUUAUUUACAUACAUGCCUGCCUUGUGGUCUCAUGCCCUGUCAAAGUACAAUUAAUGGAAUUCUGGAACACAAGAUAUAUCUGAUUUUCUCAUGGCCAGGUCUCCUUUAUCAAGUAUACCUAAAUAAUAACAUUUCAUUAUAUCAUCUGUUUAGAGGAUGAUAAAUGAAACCUUUUAAAACUAAUGCCUUGAGAUAAGGAUUAACCAGAUUUAGCAAAAUAUAAGUGUCAGGUUUAUAUUACAAUGUUGGGAGCAAAUAUAAUACUGAAAAAUUCAUUAUUUAUCUGAAAUUCAAAUUUAAUUAUAUAUCCUGUAUUUUAUCUGCCAAGCCUACCUGAUGAAUACUUCUUUGAUACUGUAGAAAACAUAAGUUUUUUAUCAAUUUCAGAUAUUUAGUGUUUUUUUAACCUAACAUUUUGAUAAUUUAUCCCCAAGGAAAAAUUAAUUGUGAAUUUAUUGUUGAAAUGAUUUAUUAAAUAAAUAUUUUUUAAAGGUUGAAAAAAAAGUUAACCAAAGUUAAUGCAUUAAUUCUUGAGGUGGUUGUAAAUAUGUGUAUCUGAUCUUUACUAUCUUCUGCAGUAACUGUCAAUAGAUUGUGAUUAAAUUGUGAUAUAAGAUUCAGUGACUCUGUCUUGUCCACCUAAAAACUAUUUUACUAAAGAAAUCUACAGAAUAUAAUUUUACAAAUAUGCAUGUACAUACUUUUUAAAAGUUUUGUAAAUGGUUUUGUUUGUUUGUUUUUUUUUUCUUUGUUUUGUUGGUUUCUUCCUCAUUCAAAAUCUUGAUCCUGGCACUAGAACAUCCACUGUAGGUUUAUUUAAAAAAGUCUUUCCUAUCAUCCAAGAUGAAAUUAUUUUUUUAUAUAUAUUUAAUGCUUUUUGUUUUUUUCCAUUAUAGCUGUUUUACAGUGUUCAGUCAAUUUUCUACUAUGCAGAAAGUUGACCCAGUCACACAUACACAUAUACAUUCCUUUUCCUCACAUUAUCAUGCUCCACCAUAAAUGCUAGAAUACAGUUUCCAGUGGUAUACAGCAGGAUCUCAUUGCUUAUCCAUUUCAAAGGAAAUAGUUUGCAUGUAUUAACCUCAACUUCCCAGUCAUCCCACUCCCCCCACAUCUCCCCUUGGCAACCACAAGACUGUUCUCCAUGUCCAUGAUUUUUUUUCCUUUCUGUGGAAAGGUUCAUUUCUGCCAUAUGUUAGAUUCCAGAUAUAAGUAAUAUCAUAUGGUAUUUGGCUCUUUUUGAAUUAACUUCACUUAGCAUGAGUCUCUAGUUCCACCCAUGUUGCUGCAAAUGGCUUUAUUUUGUUCUUUUUUUAUGGAUGAGUAGUAUUCCAUUGUGUAUAUAUAUCAGUUCUUCUUAAUCCAACCAUCUAUUGAUAGACAUUUAGGUUGUUCCAAUGUCUUGGCUAUUGCAAAGAGUGCUGCAAUGAACAUGCAGGCACAUGUGCCCUUUUCAAUGAAAGUUUUGUCCAGAUAUGUGCCCAAGAGUGGGAUUGUUGGGUCAUAUGGUAGUUCUAUAUUUAGUUUUCUAAGGUGCCUCCAUACUGUUUUCCAUAGUGGUUGUACCAAUUUACAUUCCCACUAACAGUGAAGAAGUUUUCCCUUUUCUCCACACCCUCUCUAGCACUUGUUAUUUGUGGACUUGUUAAUGAUGGCCAUUCUGAUUGGUGUGAGGUGGUACCUCAUAGUAGUUUUUAUUUGCAUUUCUCUAAUAAUCAGGGAUGUUGAGCAUUUUUUCAUGUGCUUGAUGGCCAUCUGUAUAUUUUCUUUGGAGAAAUGUCUAUUCAGGUCUUUUGCCCAUUUCUCCAUUGGGUUGUUGGCUUUUUUGCUGUUGAGUUGUCUAAGUUUUGCUGUUGAGUUUGUAAUUUUUUUUAAGGUGCUAUCUAAAAUAAUUGGAAUGUUGGAGUUCUCCUUGAGGGGCAGAAGAAAUGAAUAUGACUAGUAUCCGUUAGGAUGCAACUUGAUCCCUGGCCUUGCCAGUGGGUCAAGAAUCCAGCAUUGCCCUGAGUUGUGGUGUAGGUUGCAGACUUGGUUCAGAUCCCAUGUUGCUGUGUCUAUGGCAUAGGCUGGCAGCUAUAGUUCCAAUUCUACCCCUAGCCUGGGAACUUCCAUGUGCUG
rnacentral:lncRNA from 1 species